rnacentral:rRNA from 1 species
AUUACUCCUACGGGAGGCAGCAGUAAGGAAUAUUGGUCAAUGGACGAAAGUCUGAACCAGCCAUGCCGCGUGAAGGAUUAAGGCCCUCUGGGUUGUAAACUUCUUUUAUCUGGGACGAAAAAAGGGAAUUCUUUCUCACUCGACGGUACCAGUGGAAUAAGCACCGGCUAACUCCGUGCCAGCAGCCGCG